GACAAUAUUUCAAUCUGACAGUGUCUUUAUUUCACAGGUCCGUCUCAGGUCUUUGAGCAAUGUGAGAGAUGUUCUCAUUUCUUGUCGUUUUCAGCUGCUUUCCAAGCACAACAUCCCGUUCUUCAGGAUUUUCAUGAAAGCUUACAGAAGACAGGACUCUGAUGCUUCGGAAGGAAUCUCUUAUCUGGAACUGGGAGAAGUUCAAGCUGCCUGUAAACAAUCAUUUACUCCCCACUUCCCUCUUGAAUUGCCCUUUACUAUGUACAAAUAAACACAACGAAAAUGCAAAAA